rnacentral:rRNA from 1 species
GACGAACGCUGGCGGCGUGCUUAACACAUGCAAGUCGAACGGAAAGUCCCUGCUUUGGUGGGGUGCUCGAGUGGCGAACGGGGGAGUAACACGUGAGUAAGCUGUCCUUGACUUUGGGAUAAGUUCAGGAAACUUGGUCUAAUACCGGAUAGGAGCUCUUGCUGCAUGGUGGGGGUUGGUAAGUUUCGGUGGUUGGUAAUGGACUCGCGCCUUAUCAGCUUGUUGGUGGGGUAGUGGCUUACCAUGACUUGGACGGGUAGCAGGCCUGAGAGGGUGAGCGGCCAAACUAGGAUUGAGCUACGGCCCAGACUAGACCCGGACGCAGCGGAGGGGAAUAUUGUACUAUGCGAGGAGCCCUGAUGCAGUACAGCCGCGUGCGGGAAGACGGCCUUCGGGUAGUAAACCGCUUCUGCCUGUGACGAAGCGAGAGUGACGGUAAUGGGAAAAGAAGCACCGGCUAACUCCGUG